UUUCUCACUCAAGAAACCCCAAAAAUCAAUUUCUCUCAAACCCCGACCCCGUAAAACCCUAAAACCAAAACCCCUUAUCCCCUCUUCUCUCUCUCUUCUCGCGCGCCGGUGCCAGUGGCUACAGGCCGGCGGUGCUGUCGUCUUUAGUUAUUGCUUGCCGGAAUUCUCCCUACUGUGUUCGCAUUGUUGUUGAUGAUGUUAUUGUUGCUGUCUUGUUUUUCUCUCUCCUCCCUCGAAGCUUUCUUUCUCCUCGUCGCGUUGGUGUUGUUGUUCGAUGGUUAUCCGGCUAUUGUUGUUCGUGGCUGGUGGUGCUACUCGACAGGGGUUAGGUUUGGUAUCAAGAGCUCGAGAAUGGAAGUGAAGCAAGAUUUUGAUGUCGUCCUAGAUUAAGGAUUGAGCUUGUAUCUAGUUAGUUGAUUUGAGAAUAGUUGUUUAUAUUUCGUUGUAUAUGAUAUUUGGGAAUAUUAGUCGAGAUUAUUGGUGUAUUUAAGGAUAUUUUGCCGCUGCGAUUUUAUUAAUUAAGAUUUGGAUUUUAGUUUAUA